rnacentral:rRNA from 1 species
UACGUAGGGCGCAAGCGUUGUCCGGAAUUAUUGGGCGUAAAGAGCUCGUAGGCGGUCUGUCACGUCGGGAGUGAAAACUUACAGCUUAACUGUGAACUUGCUUUCGAUACGGGCAGACUUGAGGCAUUCAGGGGAGAACGGAAUUCCUGGUGUAGCGGUGAAAUGCGCAGAUAUCAGGAGGAACACCGGUGGCGAAGGCGGUUCUCUGGGAAUGUCCUGACGCUGAGGAGCGAAAGUGUGGGGAGCGAACAGG